AAUGAACGCUGGCGGCAGGCCUAACACAUGCAAGUCGAACGCCCUAGCAAUAGGGAGUGGCAGACGGGUGAGUAACACGUGGGAACCUUCCCUAUAGUACGGAAUAUACCAGGGAAACUUGGAGCAAUACCGUAUACGCCCGAGAGGGGAAGGAUUAUCGCUAUAGGAUGGGCCCGCCGUAGGAUUAGCUAGUUGGUGAGGUAAUGGCUCACCAAGGCGACGAUCCUUAGCUGGUUUGAGAGAACGACCA
rnacentral:rRNA from 1 species